rnacentral:piRNA from 1 species
ACACUCUGCACCUAACA